UAUUUGCAAAGUGGAAGUAUUAAAAAACAGAUAAAAAUCUUAACCAAAUUAAAAAUAUAAAAAAAUGUAUGUGAAAAAUUUAAAAUUAAGGAAUACAGAUUAAAAUAAAACCAAAAUAUAUAAAACUUCAGAACUUUGAGUGCAAAUAAACGGAAGUAAUAAAAACAAAAAUUUUUUUUUGCAAAAAUGAAAACAACUCAGCCAAUUUACUAAACUGUUCACUAGUCACCGAGAUUUUGAACCGUAAUUUCACAAUACCUAAAAAUAUUUACAUACUUUAAAAAUAAAAUCGCUCUUCAUUUACAUAAAUCGGAAAGCAAAACUAAUAAAAUACUCAACAUUCACCACUGAGAAGAGCGUAAAAAUUUCCGUCCCUUCGGCAGCGUACAUUUUCCAAGGAUAAGUGAUGUGAAGUGGAGCUCUCAGAGGCUUUAAGAAAAUAUUCAGCAGUGUUGCGAAGAUGACUGUCAUUCAUUCUACCGUUAUGGCGCCAAAUCCUGAGGUCGAUACUAUUCGCAGCAGUAACAGAAGGAAAUUUAAUUAUCGAUUUAGUUGUUACGACAACGAAAAAGAUGCGAAUUUUAAGCAAUUAUUUCGCAGUUCAUAUAUAUAUGGGCCAUUCCAUCAAUUGGCGACAUGGUUUUGUACCCGUGGUUCUCCGAUUUUGACGAAACUUUAGAAUAUCAUAAUAUAGACCAAAAUAAAAAUAUCUGUAAACUUUUUAGUGGUCAAAGUUGCUCCAUUGUUUUUUGGCGCGCAAUUCAAAUUGAGAUCAAACAAAAAAAAUGACAAUUUCUUUUAUUUUUU